UACCUUAAAACGCAAAUCCCGGAAUUUCGUAUUGAAAUGACAUCUGUUAAUUUACCUAUGUUGUUUGAAGAAUAGAAAGGCGUGAAAUGGAUGCGGCAUCAAGAGAUGUUCAUUGCCUGAGAUCUAUAAAAAGACAAGUUUAAGUUAGAUAAUUUUAAAUAAUCUCUCUGUUAGGUUAAGUAUUGCACUACUAUCUACUGCUUGUAGAAAAAUCAUCAAUCAAUCAUGUUUGCAUUUAAUUGAAGUAUGUUUUCGGCAGUGAUUACCUAUUUUGAUGUAAGAUGUAGUUAGGUCCUGAAUAUUUGUCUGAGACUGCUUGCCAUUAGGCGGGCCGUAAGCUUGAUUGCCACCGACGUAGUAUAAAAAAUAAUUAACUUGAUUAAUUUUACAGCCGUUUAAAAUAUUUUUACACAAUUUUCAGUCGUGGCUGAAUGCCGGACGGGUCUGUCAAAAAGUUACAAUAUGGCGAACAAAUGUUUGAAAUGUACCCGUAUUUAAGAAUUAUUUCGCUUAAAAUUUAGUUUUUUCUUCGCAAGUGUGAGAAAAACAUUGUGUGUAACUCCGGGGCUAAGAAUAUUGCAAACUCGGGCCUUUAAUUCCCUCUUUUAUAAUAUCUCACUUACCCCUGAUCUAAUAUAAUCUUGCAACUGAAUAAAGGUUUUAUUAUCAAAACUGCUCGUUUCUUUAUCAUUGACUGGUUGAAAAUAUUGUUAUUAUUCAUUCAUUUUUUUAAAUGAUUAAAAAUAGACAACUCUUGGCCGUCCUGUCAUCACUCCCAAUAUAAAGGGUUUUGUCAUACAUUGUUCAUACCACGUGAAUGGUCUAUUAUUAAUACAGAUGUGUUCGAUAAACAGGUUUUCCAUGUUCUUUUUAGUUUUUUUUUUAUCUUUUGUAAUGACCAUGAUAUCUGUAGGCAUAAAGCUAACAAACAUUGUUUCAAUUUUCAGAUCCUCUAUUCGAAACGACCGUCCGAGGAGGCGUCAUAAUGUUCUACAAAGGCUACAAGUACUAUCAGAAACGAAAAUCAGGGCUAGCGUUAGAACGUGUAGUGUGGAUAUGCGGGACUCACAAGAGGUUCAAAUGCCCCGGCUCCGUGACUACUGUGGGUAGCGAGAUUGUGAAGAUCAAUAAUGUGCAUGAUCAUGAUAUUGUUAGGGGCAAGGAGAAUUUGACAACGAUUAAACGACAAGAGUUGUGUCGUGUAUAGUUUGCUUAGAAAUAUACAAUAGAACCAAUUUUCCAAAUGACAGCCAGAGGGAGCCGCAUCCUAUACUUCAGAGGGCACAAAUACCAUCGCGAGCGGCAGAAGGGCGCCAAAAUUAGGUGGCAAUGUGGAACACACCAGAAGAAAGGUUGCCACGGAUCCGUCACGACUCUAGAGGACCAAGUGGUCAAGAUAUCUGUGCACAACCACUUCCCUUGCUUUUUUGAUUAGGGAUCUUUUGAAAGUUGUUUCCAGAGCCCGGAAGAAAUGUGGCGGUUUUUUAAAUGUCAUAUAGACCUCAUAAAUUAUUACUGUAUUGACUUAUUAUGUUGAUACUUUUCUCGAUACAUGACGAAAACUAAGUAGGUCAUAUGCUAUGUUUUUAAAAUAUUUUACUCCUUUGUUAAUUUUAUUCAGUUAUUUUAUCUCUAAAACAAGAAAAACAUGUUUUUAAUACAGUUGACCAAAAAUAGCUACUUUACGUAGCUUGGUUUUUGCGAACUAGUGCUUUUUACUUUGCCAACUUUUUUUAAUUUAUUUUUGACGGUUAUCCAUACGUCCAACCAAAGAGUUUGGAUACCCAAAAACUUUAUAUGUAUUUUUAUUUCGCCAUUGCACGUUUAUUACAUCCAAAAAAUAUUAUUACACGAUAUAAAUUGAAUAUUUAUUUGUUAUUAUAUAAAUAAUAUGUUUUAAAUUACGAUAUUUCACUAAAACAUUUUUUUUAUUAUUGGCUGAAUGAAACUAUCAUUACCACGUUGGCUGUCGUUAACAGAAAAAAAUAAGAAUGAAAAAGUAAAACCGGCGCGGCGCCCGCUGAUAUUACUUAAAAUUAAGUUGUAUCAAAAUAAUUCACGUUAAAUUGCAACUGUGAGUGUUUUUGUAUUAAAUGAGAUGUGAUUAAUUUUUGCAAUGUAAAUCAUGGCUGAACGUAUGUAGCGUAUAGUGCUGAAUUAACAAUAUCAUUCAAGUUCAAGGGAAAAUUCGUAACUGUAAGCUUUGUAAGUGUAUUACUCAGGUAACAAAUAUUUGUUUUAUUGUGAUAUUUCGCAAAUGUAUUUAAAAACGUCGUUCAAUGAUCGUGUGCAAGUGUCAUUAUUUACUUUAGCCUACGGCUCAUAGAAAACGUCUCGGGACUCGUAAAUAAUGACACACUUUGCACACUUGCAUUGAAAUGUACUAUUAUUUUUCACAUUGACACACAACAUUGAUAUGAAACUUAUUACUUAAUUAAAACUAAGUAACAUUCAUUGUAGCGCUGUCAAGAGUUGCUAAUAUACACAUAUAGGUAGAAUUUACUAUUAUGUGCAUAUAGAUACCUUUACGUUUGAAAUCGAAGUCACAAAUUAUUCCGAGCUUUACUUAUCACAUACAUUGAAAUACUCAAAACUGUGCUAACAGUUCUACGAAAUCUUUUUUCAUACCUAGAGCUUGUAUAUUUUCUAUAAAAUAGUUGACUCCUGUUACCUACUGCAAAUAGGUAUUCGUUAUAUCGUCCUAAGGCCCGCCAUACAAGAAAUCAAUUUGGAAACAAUAGUAAAGGAAAUAUUCAUGUACUUUUUUGUUUAUAAUCGGACGUAACACAAUAAACGCGAUUCUGUUCUAAUUGAAAAUGGUUUAAAUUACAUUGAAGAAAUUAUUACUACCGGUAGGACCGUGGGCCUUGCGAGUGUAUAGUAGCUCAAACUGCUUAAAAACCAUCAUUAAAUUACGUGCCCUUAAUGCACCACACAUAUAAAGUAAUAUUAUGGACGCAAAGCACAUAAAAAUAAAAGUACCUACUUACAGAGUUUAGUUGUUAGAGGCGCGCACUUUAAAAAUGGUUGUUCUGUACCUAGCUAUAUAGUAUGAUGUCACUUGUUAGUCAUUAUAUUUUAUUAUCUUGUUCACACUUUGCAAUAGCAUAGUUACAACUGUAACAAGUGAUGUUUCAAACAAGAAAUAGACAAUAUAAAGUCUAUGUAUGUUUGUAUUUUGAGGUGCCUUUAGCGACAUAAGUAGUUAAAUUAAAACAUGUACAAAGUUGAGGAAAAAGUAUUAUAUUGUUAUAAAUACGAAUGUACCGAUAUUAUUAAAUAAUUGUGACGUUACUAUCUACUUUUUUCAAUUUCUUAUACCAAAUUUUCUUACUUUGAUUUUGUUAAUAUUCUUUUUUUAACGUAUCUUCAAUUAACAUAAUUCAUUAUCUUAGAUCAAGCGAGGGCAGCGAUUAAGGAUUAAAGGCAUAUUACAUACAUAAUUAAAAAUGUAGAUUAUUGGGUAAUGGGAUAUUAAAGUAUAUUGAUUAGUUUUUAUACUGUUAGUAACUGAGAGUAAUAAAAAAGUACUAACUCAUAA